AGCCUUCUGUAUCGUGCUGAGAUUUCGUCACACACCAGACCAAAACGUCUGAAGAGACUUCCAAGAUAAGUUAUGCG
rnacentral:pre_miRNA from 1 species